UGCGCUCAUUGCUGGUGAGCUCACUUCUCCACUACCCCCACUCGAAGUCUGUGGAGCGCACGAUGGGAGCAUCGUGCGCUAGACAGCAGAAUCGUGCGCUAGAAGCAAGCCCAUCGGUCGAGUGCAAGACUGCCAACAAGCGCUCGAUGCGCGUCUAGCGCUCGUUGUGUGCGAUCUGAUGCUAGAUUCAGUCAUCGUGCGCUCGAUGUAAGCUGCUCGUUGGCGUUCUAGCACAUGAUGGGUGCGUUCU
rnacentral:lncRNA from 1 species